rnacentral:snRNA from 1 species
GUUAUAAAUAUUUUGACAGCCUAUGCCAUUAAAACUGCAACCAUACAGAUAGAUCAGCAUGGUCACUGCACAAGAGGGACAAGGAAUAAGUGAAGCAAUCCAUAUUUUU